rnacentral:rRNA from 1 species
GAUCAUGGCUCAGGAUGAACGCUGGCGGCGUGCCUAACACAUGCAAGUCGAGCGAAGCGAUCGGAUGGAAGUUUUCGGAUGGAAGUCAGAUCGACUGAGCGGCGGACGGGUGAGUAACGCGUGGGUAACCUGCCUCAUACAGGGGGAUAACAGUUAGAAAUGGCUGCUAAUACCGCAUAAGCACACAGGACCGCAUGGUCCGGUGUGAAAAACUCCGGUGGU